GCUCGGAAGUCCAGAAUGCAACUGAUCAGGCUCACAUCACAGUGUGGAUCCACCGAGCUCCAUUUCCGGAGGCUGUUGACACCUUGAAUCCUGUCCCACCAGGCAUACAAAGGGAAAUCCCACAUCACGUCUCAUCAGAGGCAGAGGUUGAAAUAGCCACGUGGUUCAACUGAUUCACAAUGAAUAGAUUUCAGAACCUGAAGAGAGGUCAGAAAAUCGAGAACAAAUACAGGAAUCCCAUUAGCACAAAGAGGAAGACACGCCAUUAUGAGUCCCUUGAACAUCACUGGGCAAUAAAUAGGAAAAAUGAUGGGGUCUCACAGUCAAGAGCUUGCCUUGAGUCUCAAGAAGGAUUUUGAACUUUUGAAAAGUGUUGACAUUACCAAAAGUUGUAGGGACAUUUGAAGUUGAAAUGAAUGUAUUUUGCAUUAUGAGAUAGACUUGAGUCAGUGGGGACCAGGGGUGAAUAUGAAUAUUGUGGUUUGAGUGUGAAAUACGCCUCAUGGUUGGAUGUAUGGGAACACAUUGUCUUUGACUGAUAUUACUGUUUUAGUAACCUGUACAACCUUUAAGAAGUGGAUGCUCACUGAAGGCAGUGGUUCAUGGUCCAAUUUCCUUUUCACUUUCAAAAUUCUACACUGCUAGUCCUUUCCACCAUGAUGGACUAUAUCCCAUUGAAUUAUAAGGUAGAAUAAAUCCAUUUGCCUCUAACUUGCUUCUCCUCAGGUAUUUGAUCAUAAUAAUGAGAAUAAUAGCUAAUAUUCCUAUUGACCUAGUUAGUGCUAAUUGUCAAAUUUACACAGCUUACCUAAGAAAGG